rnacentral:rRNA from 1 species
UACGUAGGGGGCAAGCGUUGUCCGGAUUUAUUGGGCGUAAAGAGCUCGUAGGUGGUUCGGUAAGUCGGAUGUGAAAUCUCCAGGCUCAACCUGGAGGGGUCAUUCGAUACUGCCGUGACUAGAGGUCGGUAGGGGAGUGUGGAAUUCCUGGUGGAGCGGUGAAAUGCGCAGAUAUCAGGAGGAACACCCGUAGCGAAGGCGGCACUCUGGGCCGGUACUGACGCUGAGGAGCGAAAGCGUGGGAAGCAAACAGG